ACAGGUGGAUUGGGUGGAUGGCAGGUGCAGUGACUGGGUUUGCAUCCACAUUCGUAUCCGUGGUUUAGGCACCAAAAGCACUUUGGUUAAGGUUCGAGAAAGUUUUGGUUAAAUAAAACAGCGUUCACUGAGGUGAUUGAUGUGGAUGAUGAAGAUCCGCUGCCAGAGCUUUCCACCAGACACACCUGACACACAGAUACCGAAGAGGAGUGUUGACUGAUGGAUGCCGGCGUGGACAGAGGAGACACAGGGAGAUGGAGCAGGAUGGGAACUGGUCUAAAGUUACAGCUCUUCCAGUAGAGAGCUUCGGGGCUCAUCACCGUGGCUGUUUCUUCCUCUUCCACGUCUGUUUUUGUUUGCAGACUCGAUGAGGAUCACAGUCUGAGCAGCACCAAUGUUCUGGCAAUGUGACUGAUUGAUCCAGUAGAUGAACAGUAAAGAUUAAGAGGAUGACAAAUAAGCAUGCUGCUUACACAGCGCUUGGGGCUAAUCCUCCCCCUCCACCCCCUGGACUCCCUUUUGAGGAGCUGCCGCCGAGGAGCACCCACAGACAGUGACCGACCCCGACGGCCAGAGGGAGGACGCACAACCUGUUGACGUGCAACAAGUGUCAGCUCGAGCUCAUGGCAGGACCCCAGCCCAUCUGCAUCUCCACACCAGAGCCUGCAGCACAGUAGAGGCUCAACCUGCCAUCUGUCCACUGGGGACCAGCGGAGACCCCACAGCUACACAAUUUAAAUUUUUCACAAGUGUUUUUUGUUGCCAAAACAACCUCAAAAGGAAGUUGAACUUUUUUCCUGGACGUUGUAACUUUUCAA